rnacentral:rRNA from 1 species
UACGGAGGAUCCGAGCGUUAUCCGGAUUUAUUGGGUUUAAAGGGAGCGUAGGCGGGUUGUUAAGUCAGUUGUGAAAGUUUGCGGCUCAACCGUAAAAUUGCAGUUGAUACUGGCAUCCUUGAGUACAGUAGAGGUAGGCGGAAUUCGUGGUGUAGCGGUGAAAUGCUUAGAUAUCACGAAGAACUCCGAUUGCGAAGGCAGCCUGCUGGACUGUAACUGACGCUGAUGCUC